CUGAAAUCACGACUUGGUGAGUUACAGACAAACUGUGAGACAAAUGUACACCACAAAAUCAGGGUAAAACCAAUGAUAAAUUCCCCCCUAUGAGUGCAAGUGGAAUCUUCAGUGACCACUACUAACCACAACAACCCUGCAUCAUGUAGAUGAGAUUUGUUCAAACAAUUCCGAUGGCGGUGGCGUAUAAGAUAUAGAAGCAGGUCCAUGCAUGCAGACACAUCUUCCAAGCUGAUGGAUGAAUGCAAUUGUUUUCCAGUACAAAACCAAAACACACAUCACCAUUAUGAGAAAAAGCAGACCAUUUGUCCCUAUCUUGGAAUCUCCGACCAUGUUUUGUCUCUUUACCCACUGAAGGGCAAUAAAAGGAAGGAAGCCAAAGCUGAGUGAGACUUCCCGGUGUGACUGGCACUCAUUUAAUGUAACGCUGGAUACUUUCUUAAGGAAGGCUUGUUAUUUUUAUCACUGGAAAGUAUUACAGUAGAAGAUAAUAACUGUUGACUCCUACAUCCUCCGGGUUAAUAAGAUCCUGCUCCUUCUUCUUAGGAGGUGUUUUCUUUUACGCUUCACACUUUAUAAUAAGAAAGUUAUAGAAUUGUUUACAUCUUCAACAAGAUUGAAGAAAGUGACACCAAAAACGUUUUAUAUGUUGUUCCUGAUGAAAAUUAAAGACCUAUUGUAGUA